GACGAACGCUGGCGGCGUGCCUAAUACAUGCAAGUAGAACGCUGAAGAGAGGAGCUUGCUCUUCUUGGAUGAGUUGCGAACGGGUGAGUAACGCGUAGGUAACCUGCCUUGUAGCGGGGGAUAACUAUUGGAAACGAUAGCUAAUACCGCAUAACAAUGGCUGACACAUGUCAUUUAUUUGAAAGGGGCAAUUGCUCCACUACAAGAUGGACCUGCGUUGUAUUAGCUAGUAGGUGGGGUAAUGGCUCACCUAGGCGACGAUACAUAGCCGACCUGAGAGGGUGAUCGGCCACACUGGGACUGAGACACGGCCCAGACGCCUACGGGAGGCAGCAGUAGGGAAUCUUCGGCAAUGGGGGCAACCCUGACCGAGCAACGCCGCGGGAGUGAAGAAGGUUUUCGGAUCGUAAAGCUCUGUUGUAAGUCAAGAACGGGUGUGAGAGUGGAAAGUUCACACUGUGACGGUAGCUUACCAGAAAGGGACGGCUAACUACGUG
rnacentral:rRNA from 1 species